rnacentral:tRNA from 1 species
AGGGAUGAGCCACCGGUUAGGCGGCCGGUCUCCAAAACCGGCGAAAAGUAGGUUCGACUCCUACCGUCCCUGCCA